GUCUAGAGCUGAACACACAUUCCUUUGUCUGCCCACAGGCUCAGUCACCUCAACGGAAGAACAGUCUGCAGGAGAAUUACGCUAACAAGAAGUGAACUCUACAGGUUGAAUUGAGAUAAUUCUGAGAUUAAGAGAUGGCUGACUACAGAGCUUUUCUGUCAUUAAUAGGUCUUCACCUGCUGCAAAGUGUUUGCAGUACAACUCCCUUUCCAUCAUGUGGCCCAGGACAAUUGGAAUGUACAACAGCAGUCACAGCUACUUCAAUUGAGACACCUCGUGUGGAAAGAGUACAAACAGAAAAAUGUGCAGCAGAACUGGAUGCAUUUUGCUUUCAUGGAGAGUGCAUGUUUCUUGUGGACUUAAAUGUACAUUCUUGCAGGUAAGAGGAGCACACAUAAGGAAGAAUUUC